rnacentral:rRNA from 1 species
UACGAAGGGAGCUAGCGUUGUUCGGAUUUAUUGGGCGUAAAGAGCGUGUAGGCGGCUAGAUAGGUCCGUUGUGAAAACUCGAGGCUCAACCUCGAGACGUCGAUGGAAACCAUCUGGCUAGAGUCCGGAAGAGGAGAGUGGAAUUCCUGGUGUAGCGGUGAAAUGCGCAGAUAUCAGGAAGAACACCCGUGGCGAAGGCGGCUCUCUGGUACGUGACUGACGCUGAGGAGCGAAAGCGUGGGGAGCGAACAGG